CAGAAGUAGACAUGGCACCUGCUCUAACGGAGAUGACCCUCCAGUGGAGAGACUUCCACAAACAAAAGAAAAAGUCUCUGAGCUGUCAGUUUCCUAUUACCCCCUGCAUGCCGUCUCGCCGGCACCCAGGGUUCAAAGUGGCACCACGCACCAGCUUCAAGGUGGCGUCUCCGCUGUUGCAGCAGAUGGAACACGUGUCCAAUCACACGCCUGCCCCCGUCGCCCUCCCGGUGAUUUCAGCCUGAACGGACAGGAAAAUUGAUACCAGGGACUUGCCGGGCUGAAAGCGACCAGCGGGCUUCAGGCAACCAAGGACCCGGUUGCAGCGGUGUGGCAACAAU